CACCAUAAUACUGUUUGGGGAGUAGAGACAAUGGAUUCAUUCUGACCUUGAUGUUUUUAUUGUUUUUUCUUUUUACUCCCCUUUUAGCUAGGGAUGAUCACUUAAGGCAGUCUAUUGGAAGAUAGGGUUCCUGGUGGCUCAGUCAGUUAAGUGUCUGACUUCAGCUCAAGUCAUGAUCUCCUGGUUGCACUUGACUUAUAUAGCACAUAUUUCCAAAUGGAAGUUAUGAAGACACUGGAGCAUCCCAACUCGGAUGAACUGCCUAUUGACCCACCUGCCUCGAUACCUUACCUUACAUAGCUCUAGAGCCAUGUCUUAUCUGCCACUUCUGGGUGACCUUUCAUCACCACUGUGAUAUCCUCUGUCACUCCUGAGGUUGAUCUCCAGACUCUGAAACAAUCUAGCCAUUCAGGUGAAUUUCUCUCAUGUUUUUAAUGUUGUAGAUAGUGCUUUUAUAUAGAUAGAUUCUGAGGUGAUGUGGAACAUGUUCUCCCCAUAAAUCCAACCCCAC
rnacentral:lncRNA from 1 species